UACGUAGGGUGCAAGCGUUAAUCGGAAUUACUGGGCGUAAAGCGUGCGCAGGCGGUUGGUUAAGACAGAUGUGAAAUCCCCGGGCUCAACCUGGGAACUGCAUUUGUGACUGGCCAGCUAGAGUAUGGCAGAGGGGGGUGGAAUUCCACGUGUAGCAGUGAAAUGCGUAGAGAUGUGGAGGAACACCAAUGGCGAAGGCAGCUCGCUGGGACGGUACUGACGCUGAGACGCGAAAGCGUGGGGAGCAAACAGG
rnacentral:rRNA from 1 species